rnacentral:rRNA from 1 species
GACGAACGCUGGCGGCGUGCUUAACACAUACAAGUCGAACGGAAAGGCCCUGCUUUUGUGGGGUGCUCGAGUGGCGAACGGGUGAGUAACACGUGAGUAACCUGCCCUUGACUUUGGGAUAACUUCAGGAAACUGGGGCUAAUACCGGAUAGGAGCUCCUGCUGCAUGGUGGGGGUUGGAAAGUUUCGGCGGUUGGGGAUGGACUCGCGGCUUAUCAGCUUGUUGGUGGGGUAGUGGCUUACCAAGGCUUUGACGGGUAGCCGGCCUGAGAGGGUGACCGGCGACAUUGGGACUGAGAUACGGCCCAGACGGCUACGGGAGGCAGCAGUGGGGAGUAUUGCACAAUGGGCGGAAGCCUGAUGCGGCAGCGUCGCGUGCGGGAUGACGGCCUUCGGGUUGUAAACCGCUUUCGCCUGUGACGAAGCGUGAGUGACGGUAAUGGGUAAAGAAGCACCGGCUAACUACGUG